UGUACAGAACAGUUGUUGCCUUGCUCUGUACAACUAGGUAAACUUGGAAAACUCUAAGAGAUAGGUUGCUUAAAUUAAUUUUGAUCAAAAAAAAAGAAAAUUACCUUUUAAUUCAAGAGUCGGCGCUUAAUUAGGAACAAUAAGGGCACCAGCAUUAGGAGUUCAUAAGGGGGGUUCACACGCUUCCCGAAAAAAAAAUUAUUAAAAUAUGCUACAGUUACGACUCCGUCUCGCAACGCUCCUUCUGCUUGAACCCGGAUCGUUAUUGUUCAGCAGGCCCCAUGCCACGUGGCGGCCCGCUAUUGAUCAUUUUUUUAUUUUUUUUUCAAAAUCAAACGAAAAAUGAAAAAAAAAAUAAUAAAAAAUUCACAUGAUAGAACCCCAACCGGGGUUCAUUAAUGCGGCUGUUCUAAGAUACGUCGCUUAUCUCCUCCUCUCUCUCAUCUCUAUCUCUAUCUCUCUCCCCACUUCCUGAAAUCAGUCGAUUUCGAUUCCAAAAUGUCGUGAUUAAUCUCUUCUCCUGGGAUGAUCUCGUCGUCGUCGUCUUUGAUCGUCUCGAGGGAUAAGGAUUGGGUUCGAUCGCCUCACCGUGUACGUCACCAUCUUCUCCUCCUCGCCGCCGUCCUUGUUCUGAUCCAAAAGCUCCUUCACCGGAACGCUAACCUCUCCGACGGGCUUAUCGCCGGCGAUGGGACGAUCAGCCACGAUCUCGAUGACUAAGAACCGAGCCUUUACAUGGAGGUAGAGGGAGAAGAUGAGUUCAGGGAAGAGUAUGCUUGCCCCUUCUGCUCAGACUAUUUCUGAUAUCGUCUCUCUCUGCUGCCACAUAGACGAAGAUCAUCCCAUGGACACUAUCAAUGGGAUAACUUCUUGGGGUUUAAGGAGGUGGUCUUCUUAUUCCCUGGAGGAUGGCCAGAGUCUCGAGAGAUUGCCGGAUUCUAACAAGUGAAUACUCUUCUUCUCUUCUCCUCUCUUGCCGUUUGUUUUGUGUAUUGAAUGGUCUCCUUUGAAGAAAAUAUUGGCAAAAGUCUAAAUCUUUUGUUAUCAAGUGAAUACUAGUUUUACAUUAAGAGGGUGUUAUUGGUUCAUAUAUUUUAAUGGAUUUAAAAAUACAAAUCAAAUCUAGUGUUAUUGGUUCUGUGA